CUCACCACCCCAAUUUUCGUCCACCCCUUUCCCUAUAACAUUAGUUGGCUGAAAAUCUUCUCCAACACUCUUCACUUUCCCUCUAAAAAGUCAAAAGUUCUCUCCCUCCCCUCUCGUUUUCAGCUUUCUCUUCCACCACCACUCUCACAAGUUCUUCUCCCACCAUCUCACCCUUCAUAGAACCCCCUUAAAGCUCCAAGUGAAGUAGGAAACAAGGAAAGGACGUGAGAAGGAUAGGGCAUAAAGUUUUAGAGUGAAGUUAUAAGUUACAAGAGUGAGUCUCAUUUUUUUUUUAAUUCUGAAAUGGGCAUGUAUCCAUUGAGUUUUUACAUAGAUAUGGUGUAUAUUUUGUGAUGGUAUGUAUUAUCGACUUGGAUGAUAAUUUUGAUGAAUUUUUGUGGGCUAGAAACUAUGUAUGAGGUGAAGUUGAAAAUCUGCCAUAGGCUCAUUGUUUCGGCAGUGUUUUGCAAGGCAAUUCCCACCGAUCAAAUACUUCCCAAAAAUUCAAAAUUUUUUACAGAGUGACCUUUUCAUAAGUCUAAUGCAUUGUGUAAAAUGUGUAGAUUUUUCUGAGUUCUUGAGAAUAUUCUGCAAUUUUUCAAAUAUUAUUGGCUGAUUUGAAUUCAGUUUUAGUGGACAAACUUCAAAGGGACAUAAGUCCAGUUUCAAUCGGUAAAAACUUUUGAACCUUGGAUAUGUUAUUCUAGAGUCUCAUAGCUUUCUUUUGACACUGCCCUCACCAUUU
rnacentral:lncRNA from 1 species